UAAAAAGAGGGAGAAGAGGUUGAGACCAGGAGGUCGUACCUCCUGGUUGGUGUCGCAUGAAGGGGGAAAAACCCUAAAUAUGAGGUCAAUUUCACAAAUUGAAGAAGAUUUAACAAGAUUAAAGCAUGUUAUUAUCAUCCUUUCUUGAUUUCUAUGGCCAAUCUUUGACGAUUAACAAGCUAGGUGAAAGCUUGGGAACGAAGCGGGUCAAACAAAGCAAGAAUGACGGAAAAGCAUAAUCUGGAUGUGCUAACCGAGUUACCGGAAGACGAUCAAGCUCCGCAAGGAACCGAACACAUAAAGAACAAAGCUUCCGCGAACAGUUUUGUCGUUAUGUUUUAAAAGGUGACUCAAAUUCCUAAAUGUUGAAAUGUUUUAUUUAGUAAAAUGUUUUA
rnacentral:lncRNA from 1 species